CCGCGCCCCCGUGAGAAUGCCCUUCAAUCUCUGAAUGAGAUCAAGGAGCUGGUAUCAGGCACACUUAACUGUAGCCCACGACACCUUGCUUAGCCACACCCCCAAGGGAAUUCAGCAGUGAUAAAUAUUAAGCCAUAAGUGAAAACUUGACUUAGUUAAUGCUACUAAGGGUCGGUAAAAUUCGUGCCAGCCACCGCGGUUAUACGAGAGACUCGAGUUGAUAGUCAUCGGCGUAAAGAGUGGUUAAGAUAAAUAAAAACUAAAGCCAAAUACCUUCAAUGCUGUUAUACGUUCUCGAAGGUGAGAAGUCCAACUACGAAAGUGGCUUUAUUAGAUCUGACCCCACGAAAGCUAGGGCACAAACUGGGAUUAGAGACCCCACUAUGCCUAGCCCUAAACAUUGACAGUUAAUUACACCCACUGUCCGCCUGGGAACUACGAGCGCUAGCUUAAAACCCAAAGGACUUGGCGGUGCUUUAGACCCACCUAGAGGAGCCUGUUC
rnacentral:rRNA from 1 species